rnacentral:lncRNA from 1 species
CCGGUGUGGUCAGGGUAGGUGGUUGCCGAGGACUUGUCUGUGAUCGAGCUGACUUCACCUCUGAAGGACAAGGUAAAAUGGUCUGCGGCGAGAGAGGAAGGAAGAGGAGGAGGAAUGAGUAGGGACGAAUAGGUGGCGAAGUCACCUUCUCCGCAUCUCAACCCCGGUCUGAAACUGAACCAUCCGACCUCCCGCUGUCACACAGAGCCACCACUUGCUCCGUCCAUCCGAUCCCUUCACCUCUCCUACAGGACAUUUCCCUGCUGUUAAAGAAACCCUCUCUGGAGCCAGACUCAGAGCCUACCCGGUAACACAGGGUGCAAGGCCGGAGGGGGAAGGGACACACCCGGGCCAGGACGCCAGUCCGUCGCAAGGCACCCCAAGUGGGACUUGAACCCCAGACUCCCUGGAGAGCAGGACCUGGUCCAACCCACUGCACCACCGCAUCCCCCUGCAAAACAACAACAACAACAACAACAACAACAACAACAACAACAACAACAACAACAACAACAACAACAACAACAACAACAACAGGCUUUUAUGUUUUUUGCUGAAGAAUUAUCUUUGAUUGUAAAAAGUAUUUUUGACGAUUUUUGAACAUUGAGGGUUGGAGUCUCUGUCAUUCUGUGUGAAAGACCCAGUUCUGAAUCUCGCCUCCUGCUGUACUACCUUUGGGCAAGGUGUUUACCCUGAAUUAAUGUUGUAAAAAUACCCAGCUAUAUAAAUGCAUAAAUCAAUAUAAAUAGCUUGACUGUGAUUACUGUGUGCCUGUGUGAGUGCCCUGGAUGUACCCCCCUUCUGCCCCAUGCUUCUCACUGCGUGACCAACACUGGAUAAGAGGUUCCUGAAAACAGAUGGAAGAAACUCAAACAAAAAAUUUGAUUUUUUUUUUUUCCAAAUUUUUUCAAAAGAUAGAUAAAUGAAGAAUUAAACUGCCCGCAGUGUGUGCAUGCAUGGGGAGGUGCAAGGGUGCAACGGGCUUGGCCGAGGCCUGCCCUCUGAUGGAUCUGGGGUUCCAGUCCCGC